CCGCCACGAUGAAAUAUUUGGCUCUGGCUUUGCUGUUAUGUGCUUUGGCGUCACUGUCAAAUGCAGACUGCUACUCUGUAGAAGUUAAACCAAAUGCCACCCAUUGUAUGGACAAAAUGGACAAUCAAUGGCAUCCUGUAGG